rnacentral:rRNA from 1 species
CCUACGGGUGACAGCAGUGAGGAAUAUUGGUCAAUGGACGCAAGUCUGAACCAGCCAUGCCGCGUGCAGGAAGACGGCCCUAUGAGUUGUAAACUGCUUUUGUACGAGGGUAAACGCAGAUACGUGUAUCCGUCUGAAAGUACUGUACGAAUAAGGAUCGGCUAACUCCGUGCCAGCAGCCGCGGUAAUACGGAGGAUCCAAGCGUUAUCCGGAUUUAUUGGGUUUAAAGGGUGCGUAGGCGGUCGGAUAAGUUAGAGGUGAAAUCCCCGGGCUCAACUUGGGAAUUGCCUCUGAUACUGUUGAGCUAGAGAGUGGGUGCGGUAGGCGGAAUGUAUGGUGUAGCGGUGAAAUGCUUAGAGAUCAUACAGAACACCGAUUGCGAAGGCAGCUUACCAAGCUACAUCUGACGUUGAGGCACGAAAGCGUGGGGAGCAAACAGGAUUAGAUACCCCUGUAGUC